rnacentral:rRNA from 1 species
GGGGAAUAUUGCACAAUGGGCGAAAGCCUGAUGCAGCAACGCCGCGUGGGUGAUGAAGGCCUUCGGGUUGUAAAGCUCUGUCUUUUGGGACGAUAAUGACGGUACCAAAGGAGGAAGCCACGGCUAACUACGUGCCAGCAGCCGCGGUAAUACGUAGGUGGCGAGCGUUGUCCGGAUUUACUGGGCGUAAAGGAUGCGUAGGCGGAUGUUUAAGUGAGAUGUGAAAUACCCGGGCUUAACUUGGGUGCUGCAUUUCAAACUGGAUAUCUGGAGUGCGGGAGAGGAGAAUGGAAUUCCUAGUGUAGCGGUGAAAUGCGUAGAGAUUAGGAAGAACACCAGUGGCGAAGGCGAUUCUCUGGUCCGUAACUGACGCUGAGGCAUGAAAGCGUGGGUAGCAAAC